rnacentral:rRNA from 1 species
GAUGAACGCUGGCGGCGUGCCUAAUACAUGCAAGUCGAACGCUGGAACUCUAGCUUGCUAGAUUGAAGGAGUGGCGAACGGGUGAGUAAUACAUAAGCAACCUACCCACGAAGGCUGGGAUAAUCUCUGGAAACGGGGACUAAUACCGGAUAGGUAAUCGGAAGGCAUCUUCUGAUUAUUAAAGGUUAAAAACACUGGUGGAUGGGCUUAUGGCGCAUUAGUUAGUUGGUGAGGUAACGGCCCACCAAGACGAUGAUGCGUAGCCGGCCUGAGAGGGUGAACGGCCACAUUGGGACUGAGACACGGCCCAGACUCCUACGGGAGGCAGCAGUAGGGAAUUUUCGGCAAUGGGGGAAACCCUGACCGAGCAACGCCGCGUGAGUGAUGACGGCCUUCGGGUUGUAAAGCUCUGUUGUAAGGGAAGAACGGUAGAUAGAGAAUAUCUAAAUGACGGUACCUUACCAGAAAGCCACGGCUAACUACGUG